CAAGCCGAGAAGCCAUAUCCAACAAUUUAGAGAAGGGAAUGCAAAUUUCAAGGAAUGGUUUUAUUUGCCUUAAUUUUGGUAUUUAUUUUUUUUGGUGUCACAGUUGUUGCAGCUGUUUGACCUAAAAGUUGGCAUCACAGGUAUGCAUGUCUAUUCUUUCUCAACGCUGUUUGUGAGGAUUCGUUUUUUGUAUGCAGGACUCCUCAUCCUCCCUUUUCUUCGACUAAUGAUCUCUUUUUAUUUUGUUCGGAACUCUAUGCUAGACCUUGCGGUGUUGGUUUUUCUGUUCGGGUUGACGUUUGGAGAAAGCAGAGUAACAUGGAAUUCUAGAGUGUGUCUCGGGUCUGUCUUUUGUCUGAGUUGUUUAGUCUCGUAGGCAUCACAAGAUGCUUCGAAUUGCUGAAUUUUGUUCAUUUUUGGAUCGUGUAGGCGUCGUUCAAUUGGCGGAGAUAGAUGGCCCGUUUGUUACACUCCGUCUUUCAGGACGCUUCUGGCACACGCGUUCGAUGGUUCUUGCUCGCGUUGCCAAUUAUUUGCAGAAACGAAUUCCUGAAAUAGUUGAGGUGCAGAUUGAAGACGAAUCACAACUGGACGACAGUGCGGCCAAUUUCUAGGUCUCUAGCAAUGUGUCGAUCGUCACAACUUGUCUUACAUACCUCUGCUGAUCCUAUCAUCUCCUCACGUGAAACGUCGAAGGCAUCGUCGAGUUCACAUCAGCUCUGGAAGUGAUAAGGAAGCUGCAACCAUACAUGGUGAAAACUAGCGAGGUACUGCAACAAAUUGGUACUGAUCCACAAGUAUGUGCUUUGACUUUGGGGUCACGAUCGGUGCCAGCUCUGCUGAUUGGAACCGUUUUAUCCUUGCAAUUCACUGUCGAAUACGGCGUCUCUGGGAACAGCAUCAAGCGGAAGCACAAGCACGGGUGAACGCUGGGAAUUUUCGUAACUGCUUGUGAAGUGAAGAAAAUCAUGAGUUGAGCAAUAAGAGAUCAUGAUUGAUACACCCUUGCGGCCCAUCCUUCGUAGAUCCUACAACACUGCACACUGAUGUCUUCGGCUCUUGAAUGCCGGAAUGGAUUGUGGACUGAAGAAACUCCCAUAAUCGUUUACACAUGUGUUGCAGUUCAAUCAAAUGUUUUUUUUUAUUCUUACACAAAGAUAAUCAUUCAUUCGUGAAA